rnacentral:rRNA from 1 species
UACGAAGGGGACUAGCGUUGUUCGGAUUUACUGGGCGUAAAGCGCGCGUAGGCGGAUCGCUAAGUCAGGGGUGAAAUCCCGGGGCUCAACCUCGGAACUGCCUUUGAUACUGACGAUCUGGAGAUCGGGAGAGGUGAGUGGAAUUCCGAGUGUAGAGGUGAAAUUCGUAGAUAUUCGGAGGAACACCAGAAGCGAAGGCGGCUCACUGGCCCGAUACUGACGCUGAGGCGCGAAAGCGUGGGGAGCAAACAGG